UCUUCUGUUGCUUAUAACAGAAUACCUGAAACUGGGCAUUUUGAAAGGGAAUUUCUAGUUGUAGAGACUGAGAAGUCCCAAGCCGAGGGCCACAUCUGAUGAGCGCCUUCUUGCUCACAGAGACUCUGCAGCGCCCCCUGGUGGCACAGGAUAUCGCAUGGGGAGGGGCUGAGUGUGCUAAUGUGCUGUGCUCCGGGCUUUCUUCUUCUUCUUGUAAAGCCACCAGUUUCCCUCCCAUGAUAACCCAUUCACCCAUUAAUCCAUGAAUGGAUUCCUCCAUUCACAAGGGUAGAGCCCUCAGGACCCUGAGUCACCAUUUAAAGGCACCACCUCUGAACACUGCCAUAUUAGCAUGGCAGGCAGGAUAAGGGCCCCCUAACGACGUCCAUGUUCUAUGCCCAUCACCUGUGGACGUGUUACCUUCUACAGCAAAAGCGACUUUGCAGGUGCGAUUGCUAAUCACCAGUGAGAAAGGAAGCGUGCCCUGGGUUACCCAGGUUUGCCCCAUUUAAUCACAGGCGUCCUCAGAGGCAAAAGAAAGCGAUGUGAGAGUUUGUUAGAGAAAGGCGUGAGGCUGGGCGUGGAAUCAGAGUGAUGGGAUGGCUGGCCCAGCAGAUGAGGGCUGAGUACUACGGAAUGCUGUCAGCCGUGUUUAUUUCCAAAGAAGCUGGAAAGGAUGAGGAAACCACCUCCCCUGGAGCCCCCAGAAGGAGUGCAGCCCUGCCGACACCAGGAUGUUAGACCCGUGGGACCUACUUUGGACCUGGACCUGCAGCACUGUGAGUGCCUUGCUGAAUUCACUCCCAUGACCCCCAGGCUUGGGUCAGGAUGCGUGAAGCUGAAAGCACACGAAGUCCUCUCCGUGCUCUUCUGCCUUUGGUCCUAACUGUCCUCAGGGGAAGCGACUCUGAAGGCCAAGAGCUUCUUUGUGGAAGACAGAGGCAGGACCUGACUUCAUUCAACUGAGGCCUGAAAUCAACUCGAGACCAGACCACCGCCAAACACCCUCCUCCGCAGGUGGCUGCUCGCUCUGCCUUCCUUCAUCCUCACAGACAUCUCCGGGGGUGGUGGUGAGAGUCCCAUUUCUCAGGUCAAGUCAGUAAGGCAGAGAAAGAUGGGGCAACUUGUCCAGGAACAGCCUUCUAGCAUUGGGUAGAGAGCAGAUAUGGCCCUAGCUCUAUGGGUACUACUCCUAGGCUAGGGUUUCCCCAAUUUGAAAGAUCCUCGUGCUGCCCUGGGGCCUCUGUUAAAAUGUAGACUCACAUCAGAAGCUCUUGGAACACAAGCACGUCAACAGUACCUGAGCCUUAGUUUCCUCAGCCACGAGAUGGGGAAGAGAACACUUCCUUGGCAAAGUCACUGUGAGGAUUAAAUGAGAUGCUAUAGGCCAGGCACGCUGGCUCACGCCUGUAAUCCUAGCACUUUGGGAGACCGAGGUGGGCGGAUCACUUGAGGUCAGGAG